UGCUUAAUUGGCCUCUGCCUCCAAAG
rnacentral:piRNA from 1 species